rnacentral:rRNA from 1 species
AGCGAACGCUGGCGGCAGGCCUAACACAUGCAAGUCGAACGGACCCUUCGGGGUUAGUGGCGGACGGGUGAGUAACACGUGGGAACGUGCCCUUUGGUUCGGAACAACUCAGGGAAACUUGAGCUAAUACCGAAUGUGCCCUUCGGGGGAAAGAUUUAUCGCCAUUGGAGCGGCCCGCGUCUGAUUAGCUAGUUGGUGGGGUAAUGGCUCACCAAGGCGACGAUCCGUAACUGGUCUGAGAGGAUGAUCAGUCACACUGGAACUGAGACACGGUCCAGACUCCUACGGGAGGCAGCAGUGGGGAAUAUUGGACAAUGGGCGAAAGCCUGAUCCAGCCAUGCCGCGUGUGUGAAGAAGGUCUUCGGAUUGUAAAGCACUUUAAGUUGGGAGGAAGGGCAGUAAGUUAAUACCUUGCUGUUUUGACGUUACCGACAGAAUAAGCACCGGCUAACUCUGUGCCAGCAGCCGCGGUAAUACAGAGGGUGCAAGCGUUAAUCGGAAUUACUGGGCGUAAAGCGCGCGUAGGUGGUUUGUUAAGUUGGAUGUGAAAGCCCCGGGCUCAACCUGGGAACUGCAUCCAAAACUGGCAAGCUAGAGUACGGUAGAGGGUGGUGGAAUUUCCUGUGUAGCGGUGAAAUGCGUAGAUAUAGGAAGGAACACCAGUGGCGAAGGCGACCACCUGGACUGAUACUGACACUGAGGUGCGAAAGCGUGGGGAGCAAA